rnacentral:rRNA from 1 species
UGCCAGCAGCCGCGGUAAUACAUAUGUCCCAAGCGUUACUCGGAAUUAUUGGGUGUAAAGGGUUCGUAGGCGGCGACAUAAGUUGGAUAUUAAAGACCGGAGCUCAACUCCGUGUUUGUGUUCAAAACUGUGUUGCUAGAAUUAGGGAGAGGUUAGCGGAAUUCUCAGUGUAGGGGUGCAAUCCGUAGAUACUGAGAGGAACACCAAAAGCGAGGGCAGCUAACUGGAACUAUAUUGACGCUGAGGAACGAAAGCGUGGGUAGCGAAAGGGAUUAGAUA